CUGGGGCGUGAUGGGAUACACCCAAAAGUUCUUAAAAGAACUUGGUGGUGUACUAGCAAAACCAUUUACGGAUUUAUUUAACCAAUCACUAUUAACAGGAGUAGUCCCAGAAGAUUGGAAAUAAGCGCAUGUAGUACCCAUUCACAAGAAAGGUAGUAGGGAGGAGUCGGGCAACUACAGGCCAGUAAGCCUUACUUCAGUAGUGGGGAAAUUGAUGGAAACCAUGUUA